rnacentral:rRNA from 1 species
UACAGAGGGUGCGAGCGUUGUCCGGAAUCACUGGGCGUAAAGGGCGCGUAGGUGGCGCUGCAAGUCGGUGGUGAAAGCUCGUCGCUUAACGGCGAGUCGGCCAUCGAAACUGCGGGGCUGGAGCACUGUAGGGGCAGAUGGAAUUCCGGGUGUAGCGGUGGAAUGCGUAGAGAUCCGGAAGAACACCGGUGGCGAAGGCGGUCUGCUGGGCAGUUGCUGACACUGAGGCGCGACAGCGUGGGGAGCAAACGGG